rnacentral:rRNA from 1 species
AGAGUUUGAUCAUGGCUCAGGACGAACGCUGGCGGCGUGCCUAAUACAUGCAAGUCGAGCGAAUGACGAGGAGCUUGCUCCUCUGAUUUAGCAGCGGACGGGUGAGUAACACGUGGGCAACCUGCCCUGUAGACUGGGAUAACUUCGGGAAACCGGAGCUAAUACCGGAUAAUCCAUUUCACCUCAUGGUGAAAUGUUGAAAGGCGCUUUCGCGUCACUACAGGAUGGGCCCGCGGUGCAUUAGCUAGUUGGUGGGGUAACGGCCUACCAAGGCGACGAUGCAUAGCCGACCUGAGAGGGUGAUCGGCCACAUUGGGACUGAGACACGGCCCAAACUCCUACGGGAGGCAGCAGUAGGGAAUCUUCCACAAUGGACGAAAGUCUGAUGGAGCAACGCCGCGUGAGUGAUGAAGGUUUUCGGAUCGUAAAACUCUGUUGUAAGGGAAGAACAAGUACGUUAGGAAAUGAACGUACCUUGACGGUACCUUAUUAGAAAGCCACGGCUAACUACGUGCCAGCAGCCGCGGUAAUACGUAGGUGGCAAGCGU